AUGCCCUUCUGGGCCUCCCGUGGAAGGUUCUCCUUUGCUCUUAUGCAGACCUGCCGUGAGUGGGGCGGAAGGAGCCAGAACACCUGCAUCCCAUCCCUGACCCGCUCCUGCAGGCUUGGGACCUGGGGCAAAUCAAGCCACCUCCCUGUGAGAGGAACCAAUGGUUUACAGAAAUGGUGGCUGCAGAGCCCUGCUGCUGACCUGACCUCUUCUGUGUGGCCCCAAUCUAGAUCUCUCCAUGUGGCUGAGGUACAUCUACACAGGGACCUGGGAUUGAUUUUUCCAGUGAUCAUUGGCACGUGGUUGUUUCUGAGUGAGGGGGUUGCCUCCCCCCCGGAGUGUAAACUUCUCCUGGUCAAUGAUUUCUCUCGUUUGGUGUCUUUUCCCACGAAGCAUGGUCUUGUACACAAAGGGUCAGCUGCAUGUGAGGAUGAGCCCGUACUCGAGCCUUUUAAACACGGUCUCAUCUCCCCACGAUGUUCCUCAAGGUAAUGGGUAGACCUGCCAGGCCCCUGAUGGAUUUGGGAAUCAUAGCAUCCCUGUACACAAUGUUUGGUAUACAAUAGGCACUCAAUAAAUGUUUGUAGUGUGAACGAAUGAACUUGGAGUCAUUCAUCUAGUGGAUAUAUAAUCAAUUCUAACAAAACCCAGUGGAACACAAAAAUCAGGGUCAAGGCUGAGUGUCCAGGGCAUUUGAAACUUCAAUGACAUGGUUUUGGUCACCCAGGUUCUGGGGUUGGGAUCUUGAGGGGAGAUGAAGAGAGGCUGUUGGGGCAGGGCCUGGAGUCUUGGGAAUGUGCUGCUCCCCAAAACCCAGGUCAGCACCACCCAGGGCUGAUGUGGGGUCUGGGAUGAGCUGGGGCUGGAGGUCUCAGGACCCUCGCCCAUGCUAUCUGUCACUGAGCAGGUUUUGUUGCCAGUAAAGACAAGACUACCCUGGUGCAGGGUCUGGUGUGGCCCCGUACUCUGUCCAUGGCAGGUUCUUGGUGGUGAGGAGGGGCCUCCAGCAGGAGCUAGCCCCAGUGCAGACUUCCAUCCUAGGGACAGGGGCAGGGAGGCAGGCUCUCAGUCAGAGCAGGCUCUUGGCCUCAGGUCAAGGGUAGGACUCCUGCUGAGACCUGAUGCUCACAGUGAACUCUUGGCAGCAAAAGCAAGUUUGUCGCCCUGUUUUGUUUUCCAGGCUUAGAAUCACACAAAGCACCAGAGUUGGACCUUCUGGAUUUGAGCUGGAACACUCCUCACGUGUGCCCUCGUUGCUCCCCUCUUCAACCCAAACGUUUCAAAACCAGAGUCGUUCUGGUGGGACUGGCACCUGGAGACAGAGGACACAUGCAAGGGGCCACCCAGCUCCUGAGGGAAGACCAUACUCAUCAGCUGGGGAGGCCAGGAAGGCUAGGGUGGCAGUGGCAGAGGAGGGUGGCCCAACCUGGCAGAGGAGAGGCCAGACUCCUAUUGGUUUCCCUAUGAACUCUGGGCAGCAGGCUGGUAAGGAGGGGCCCAGUCGGUUUAUUCCUGCUCUGUGACCUGGCAUUGGGUCCAGGGGCAAUGGGUCCCUUCCCCGGCUCCUGAGGGACAGGCAAGCUCUGCCUGCAUCAGCUGGCCCAACUUCUGGGAGCCCAGAGGGCUUGAGGGUCCUAGAUCCUGCGGGAGCCCCAGAAAGGAGAAGAGAAGGGGACCCUCCUGUCACAGGCUGUCCACAUGGCAGGCUUAGUGCUGCAGCCUCUCCGUGGGCAGUCUCACCAAAUUCUCAGUCAAGGUCCCUCCCCUGCAGCACUAGUUUUGGGUGAAUCAUGUCCUGUGUGUGGCAUGUUGAGCAGCAUCCCUAUGGCCUCCACCCACUGGCUGUCAGCCACCAACCCUCAAGUCCAUGUGUUCAGAUGUCACCGAAUGUCCCUUGAUGGGCAAGGUCACCCCAGCUGACAGAGGAGGGAUAUGCGGGCCCAGAGAGACCAGCGACUCACUCUUGGUUUACGGAGCAGAGCCCAGGGGAGGGCACGAUCCAUGCCCCGAGCGCCAGGACAGGCUUCUUGGGAAUGGGAAGGAAGGUGAGCUUGACCCUGGCUCGGAGGUAAGGCCUCCGGAAAGCAGAGGGCUCAGUUAUCUCUCACUGCACAACAAAUUUCCCUAAGAAUUAAGGGCUUAAAGCAACCAUAAACACUGUCUCUCAGUCUGUGGCCCAGGCAUGGGAGGGGCUUAGCUGGGUGGCCGUGGCUCAGAAUCUCUCCGCAGGCAGCAGUCGGUGUCUGUGGAGGAUGUGUCCCCGGGGCAGCUCCUCGGGUUUGGAGAGCCUCACUCAGCACCUCGCCACCCCUGGGUGAGCGUCCUCGAUGCAAGU
rnacentral:lncRNA from 1 species